rnacentral:tRNA from 1 species
GCCGAGGUGGCGAAACCGGCAGACGCAGGGGACUUAAAAUCCCCAGAGCGAAGGCUCGUGCGGGUUCAACUCCCGCCCUCGGCA